rnacentral:rRNA from 1 species
UACGAAGGGGGCUAGCGUUGCUCGGAAUGACUGGGCGUAAAGGGCGCGUAGGCGGAUGGUACAGUCAGAUGUGAAAUUCCUGGGCUCAACCUGGGGGCUGCAUUUGAUACGUAUUGUCUUGAGUUCGGAAGAGGGUCGUGGAAUUCCCAGUGUAGAGGUGAAAUUCGUAGAUAUUGGGAAGAACACCGGUGGCGAAGGCGGCGACCUGGUCCGAUACUGACGCUGAGGCGCGAAGGCGUGGGGGAGCAAACAGG